UACGAAGGGGGCUGGCGUUGUUCGGAAUUACUGGGCGUAAAGCGCGCGCAGGCGGUCCUUUAAGUCAGGGGUGAAAGCCCAGAGCUCAACUCUGGAACUGCCUUUGAAACUAGAGGACUUGGGUACGGGAGAGGUGAGUGGAAUUCCGAGUGUAGAGGUGAAAUUCGUAGAUAUUCGGAAGAACACCAGUGGCGAAGGCGGCUCACUGGCCCGUUACCGACGCUCAGGCGCGACAGCGUGGGGAGCAAACAGG
rnacentral:rRNA from 1 species